UACAGAGGUCUCAAGCGUUGUUCGGAUUCAUUGGGCGUAAAGGGUGCGUAGGUGGCGCGCUAAGUCAGGUGUGAAAUUUCGGAGCUUAACUCCGAAACUGCAUUUGAUACUGGCGUGCUUGAGGACUGGAGAGGAGAGUGGAAUUCCUGGUGUAGCGGUGAAAUGCGUAGAUAUCGGAAGGAACACCAGUGGCGAAAGCGGCUUCCUGGUCCAGCACCGACGUUCAGGCACGAAAGCGUGGGGAGCAAACAGG
rnacentral:rRNA from 1 species